rnacentral:rRNA from 1 species
UACGUAGGGUGCGAGCGUUGUCCGGAAUUAUUGGGCGUAAAGAGCUCGUAGGCGGUCUGUCGCGUCGGAUGUGAAAGCCCGGGGCUUAACCCCGGGUCUGCAUUCGAUACGGGCAGACUAGGGUGUGGUAGGGGAGAUCGGAAUUCCUGGUGUAGCGGUGAAAUGCGCAGAUAUCAGGAGGAACACCGGCGGCGAAGGCGGAUCUCUGGGCCAUUACUGACGCUGAGGAGCGAAAGCGUGGGGAGCGAACAGG